AGAGUUUGAUCCCGGCUCAGAACGAACGCUGGCGGCGUGGAUAAGACAUGCAAGUCGAACGAGAGAAUUGCUAGCUUGCUAAUAAUUCUCUAGUGGCGCACGGGUGAGUAACACGUGAGUAACCUGCCCCCGAGAGCGGGAUAGCCCUGGGAAACUGGGAUUAAUACCGCAUAGUAUCGAAAGAUUAAAGCAGCAAUGCGCUUGGGGAUGGGCUCGCGGCCUAUUAGUUAGUUGGUGAGGUAACGGCUCACCAAGGCGAUGACGGGUAGCCGGUCUGAGAGGAUGUCCGGCCACACUGGAACUGAGACACGGUCCAGACACCUACGGGUGGCAGCAGUCGAGAAUCAUUCACAAUGGGGGAAACCCUGAUGGUGCGACGCCGCGUGGGGGAAUGAAGGUCUUCGGAUUGUAAACCCCUGUCAUGUGGGAGCAAAUUAAAAAGAUAGUACCACAAGAGGAAGAGACGGCUAACUCUGUGCCAGCAGCCGCGGUAAUACAGAGGUCUCAAGCGUUGUUCGGAAUCACUGGGCGUAAAGCGUGCGUAGGCUGUUUCGUAAGUCGUGUGUGAAAGGCGCGGGCUCAACCCGCGGACGGCACAUGAUACUGCGAGACUAGAGUAAUGGAGGGGGAACCGGAAUUCUCGGUGUAGCAGUGAAAUGCGUAGAUAUCGAGAGGAACACUCGUGGCGAAGGCGGGUUCCUGGACAUUAACUGACGCUGAGGCACGAAGGCCAGGGGAGCGAAAGGGAUUAGAUACCCCUGUAGUCCUGGCAGUAAACGGUGCACGCUUUGGGGUGCGGGGAAUCGAACCCCUGCGUGCCCGAGCUAACCCGUUAAGC
rnacentral:rRNA from 1 species